AACGAACGCUGGCGGCAUGCCUAACACAUGCAAGUCGAACGAGACCUUCGGGUCUAGUGGCGCACGGGUGCGUAACGCGUGGGAACCUGCCCUUAGGUUCGGAAUAACUCCCCGAAAGGGGUGCUAAUACCGGAUAAUGUCUUCGGACCAAAGAUUUAUCGCCUUUGGAUGGGCCCGCGUUGGAUUAGCUAGUUGGUAGGGUAAAAGCCUACCAAGGCGACGAUCCAUAGCUGGUCUGAGAGGAUGAUCAGCCACACUGGGACUGAGACACGGCCCAGACUCCUACGGGAGGCAGCAGUGGGGAAUAUUGGACAAUGGGAGAAAGCCUGAUACAGCAAUGCCGCGUGAGUGAUGAAGGCCUUAGGGUUGUAAAGCUCUUUUACCCGGGAUGAUAAUGACAGUACCGGGAGAAUAAGCGCCGGCUAACUCCGUG
rnacentral:rRNA from 1 species